AUACUACCUGUCAUUAUAACUAACGAAAAUUUUGUUAGCGUCUACACAGUCUCGCCAGCUCUCUCGCAGAUCCAAGUUUGAGGCCAGGCCUACACGAAGUGCUACAGUUCAUUAAUAACUUUGUUUUAAAUACUUCGAACGAAAAUCCAAAAUGAAGUUGCUCGUUGUUGUUGCUAUGGUUUUGCUUGCUGGUAAGUCUCUUAAACUGAAUUAAUUUGUUGUUCAGAAAAAAAAAAAGGAAUGAAUUUUGUUGUGUCGAGGGAAAGUCAUUAUGCCAAUAUUAUUAACACACGCACUGGUUCAAUUCCACUCCUUUAUUAUUUAUCAAUUGUUUAAGUAUCCAACUAAUUAAUCAAUUGUUUGUUUAAUUUGGUUAAACAGUAGAUCAUUUGUUUUGCUUUCGUUUAGCAAAGCUCUUUCGUUGCUACUUGCAGCCUUUCUUUUAUAACUGUGCAAUUUUGUCACUUAUAAAAUUUUUUGAGAAUCAUUGUCGAAGUCUUAGGAAACAGAUUUCGAGUUGCUUGCAUUGAAAAUAAUUUUUAAGCAUUCAUCUCUUGUUUCAGCCAUCUAGCUUCGGCCAUGCUGGAGCAUCAGCGUGAUUUUGCAACUUUUUCACAGUAUUCUUAGUUGGUUGAUUUCUUCAAGGUGGUGGGAUUUCAUAUCGUCACUCCUGCAUGUACUUGUGCCCUUUGGAAAUGUUCUUUAUGCGUUUAAAAAGUCUGAAGCUAACAGCUUACAAACGUAAUCAUCUGCUUUAAAAUCAAAUUCAUUAUCACCAUUUUCUUUUCUCUCAGGAACAUUAUUUUUCUGAAUUUUGCUGUUUCAUUUAGAAAUGUUAAACGAAAAGUUCCUAACUUAGAAUCCUUCUAGUUAAUUCCAGACGACGGUCAAAUUUUAUUUCAUCUUACAGUUUUAUUCGUUUCAAGUUAAGUGGGAAAGACUUCCACCCGUCCCCCUCCCAUUUUCUCCCAAAUUUUUUUAUUUUUGUAAUAUUUUUUGCCAAAAAUCCCCGUUUUCGGAUACGGAGGUUCCGGAAAAUUGCCAAAAAUCGGCAUUGUGAAUUUCCCCCACUUCCCCCAACUUCUUCAAUUUUGACUUUUACCACCCAACACUAACCCUAAAACUCUAACCCUAACCCGAAAACCGUAACCGUAAGUACAGAAAUGUUUUGAAAUUUUUGUCCGAAUCAUGAUGUCCGUAUUUAUCCGCAGAGUUAAAAAAAAAAUUCUUUAAAAAAAUUUUAUAAAGAUUUUUGGAAAUUGUUUUCAGAAUCAUAAUCUCCGUAUUUUUCCGCAUAUUUUGACAAAAAAAAUUUGUGAAAAAAGUUAAAAACGAAGGAGAUGGGGUGGUAAUUUAGAACUCAAUUUUUGCCAAUUUUUUUUGCAGAUUCGUAUUUCCCGUAGCCGAAAAGGGGUGUUUGUGUCGGAAAAAAAAAAAAAAAAAUUUACGGGUGUUUUUUUUUUGGUGGGGGACGGGCGGAAGUCUUGCCGGUAAGGGAGUCGAUUUUUUCUUAUUUAUACGCUAGUUUUAUAUUUUUAGCUUGAUUUCUGAGUAACCUAAAAACAUCAUUAUGAAGAACAAACGGUCAAAUGGUGUUAUACAUCAUCAACAUCAAUCGAAAGUGGCAAGGCUCUCUAAGUUUCGAGUUGAAAUCCAGUCGUGGUCAGCUGUAUCUUUCAUUAUUCCAAGACCUAUAAGAUGAGGUACAAAACAAGUACUGGAGUCGAUUUAAUCGAUUAACCCUUUCCCACCAAAUUUCAAACUUGUAUCCAUGUUCAAAAUAGUUAUUAUCAUCAAUGGCGGGGAUUAGUAGAAUCGUUAGAGCGUCGGACAAGAUGUCUUUCGAUGUAUAUACUGCCUUGAGUUCAAAUUCUGCCGAGGUCAAAUUUGCUUUUCAUCUUUUCGGGAUCGAUAAAAUAGUACCAGUUGAGAACUGGGAUCGAUGUAAUUUACUUGUUUGCUUCGACCGAAAUUGCUGACCUUGUGCCAAAAUUUGAAAUCGAUAUUCAUUCUGGCUGUUUAUGUUUUGAGUUUACAUUUCAUUUGGGUCAACUUUGCCUUUCAUCCUAUCGGAGUCUAAUAGAAAAAGACACUAGUCAAAUACUAGUUUCUUUCUUUAUAUUUUACUAGCAAUAUAGCCCGGCGUUGCUCGGGUUUGUUUUCUUUUCGACCCUUUAGACUUGGAAUUUUUGAAAAGUAAAAUUUUUGCAUUAUGUAGCUUGUUAUUCUCUUUAAGUGAACAUUUUUCUGGCUGAAAUACACCAAAAAAAUGGCGACACAGCAGUAAAAAAAUAGUAAAAAAUAGGGAUUUUCAUAGAAAAAAAAGCACAUUUUUGAUGUAAAUAAUUUUUGGUGUUAACAUAGUCCAAUUUGAAUUUUUUCUUCUACGGAAUGAAGAGCAAUUUUGGUCAACUUGCGCCGCAGGGUCUCGGAGGAGACAGUGUUAGUUGAAGGCUACCAAACUUGCCACACACACACACACACAGACAACUUCAGCUUUAUAUAUAUGGAUUGAAGAUACUAAAUCAGGCAUGGACAACUGUUUUCGAGAAGCGGGCCACACGAGACAUAACUGAACACCAGGCCACACUACUAAAUAACUAGGGUAAUUUUUUGUAAGGCGUGCGAUUCAGAAACAGUAGGUUGCCUAUGACCGUUCUAAAUCGUGGUAUUUAUCUUCAUAUUUAUUCUUCCCGAAGCAUCUAUUAUUACGAGGAUUGUUUCUGCUUUCAAGCCCUCUGCAGUCAAAUUAUCUCUGUUUCUAGAUCUUUAUACUUGAAGGCAUUUCUUUUUCUCAAGGCUUGAUAACAAGAUCUUGGUAGUUAGAGUUGGCCUCCCUGUUUGUGUGUGUUAUCACAUCUCAGACUAUGGUCGUUUUGCCAUUCUCGUAGAUAUGUUCUGGUUUAUACCUGUAAUACCUCGUUUUUGUGGGUAUUUCAUAAUACUGACAUAUCUCCCAGUUGAAGUUCCAACUCUAUCAUUCUAGUAGAGAUAUUCUCUCUUGGUUAAGACAGGGCAGUCAGAAGCAAUGUGGUAAACUUUGCUCAUCUCGACAUAUUCUGCAGUCACUACAUUCUGCUUCAUUACAGCUGGUAUUGUGAAAAUUUCUUUGUUUACUUCAGCCUUUUCAGGGAUUAACUAUGUUGGGGCAUAUCAUGCUAUAGCUACUAAGCCCAAGAUUCUGAGUUCGAUUCCAGGCAGUGACCUGAAUAAUAAAGAUAAAAAUAAUAAUAAUAAUAAUAAUAAUAAUAAUAAUAAUAACAACAACAUCGAAAAAUACCUUAGGGAUGAGAACCCAGGUUCGAAAUUUCCCAUAAGACACCUGAUGAAGGCUGGGGGGUACAUCAACCGAAACGUUGUGUUAACAACAAACAAGAUGAGGACAAAUAUCCGUCAAAUGUAAAUAAUGUAAAUAGUGUACAUAAUUCCUCAUCUCUUAAAUAUAGAACUGUAUUUCAACUGUUGUUUUGUAUGUAUUAGCUUCCUUGAAGAUAGAAAACAGUGUUUUGGUUUAUGCCCCAUAGGUAAUAGCACUAGUUUUUCAUUAUUCUUUUUUUCAGGCUUGGUGCCUUUAGUAGAAAGAAUUAUCAGUUAAGACAUCGCACAGUAUCCAAUACCGUGAUGUUGUUGGCUGAAGAUUUUGUGUGCACCGGGGUGGGAGAGGGGUACUAUCUGUGAAGUGACAACAAGGACCUCAGACACAUAGUACUUUACGCAAUAUGCGUGCAAUUCCAAAUAAUGCCGAUUUCUGCAAUACACUUGAUUAUAGCAUAUUUCUAAAAUUUCCAGAUCUUUUUUUCUGGUGUAUGUUGGUACUAAGCACCCGUUAAUUCGUAUCCACACUUCCGGCAUUUUAGCCAGUGAAGGUUUCGGGUAGUGUGAUCGAGCUGGUUAAUCUCCGCUCGUGUCCAUUUCAGAAUGGGUGCACUAUAGCGAACUACAGCAACAGCCUAUAUGGUCAUAGCAGUCACAAGGAUUCUUAAUUUGAGUUUCGACUUCGAGAAGUUUGAGGCGCUUCAAAUAUGCAGUGAUGACCUUGUCUUUCAUUUCUCCGUGCAAGAUAUUGUCCAGCUCCAGGAUCCCAACAACUUGUACCCAUCAUCAUCCGGGUCUUCUAUUCGCUCUCCUUUUGCUCUUUGCUCUUUUCCCCCCGUUUCAAUUUGCUGCACAGUCUCAAGCACUCUCGCUAUUUCAGGCUCUGUUUUAGCGAACAGUUUUAAACCAUCCACGAAAAGAAGGUAGUUGAGGCGAGGUCCAUUCUUUCUCAGCUGAUAGUGCGCGUUUGACUUUUGCGUAGGACUACAGAAGGUUAGAUCAAGGCUAAAGCAACUAACCUUCUUUUUAUUUUCUUUUUCUGCUUCUUCGUCUUUUUCUUUUUUCUUUCCUUUUUCUUUUUCUUCUUCUUUUUCUCUUUUCCUUUUUCUUCUUUUUCUCUUUUCCUUUUUCUUUUCUUUUUCUCUUUUCCUUUCUCUUUCUCUUUUUCUGUCUUUCUUUUUUUCGUUUUCUUUUUUCUUCUUUUUCUUUUUCUUUUCCCUUUCCCUUUUGUUUCCAGAGGUGAAUAAUUUUCUUCUUCUUCUUCUUCUUCUUCUUCUCCUCAUCAAAGUGACGAGUUAGUAAUAUCGUUAGCACGCCGGGUAAAAUGCUUAAUGGCAUUUCGUUCGUCUUUACUUUUUCAGUUCAAAUUCCGUCGAAGUUGACUUAGCCUUUUAUCCUUCCGGGGUCGAUAAAAUAAACACCAUUUAAACACUUGGGUCAAUGUUAUCGUCUAGCCCCCUUUCCCUGAAAUUUCAGGCCUUGUGCCUAUAGUAGAAAGGAUCAUCAUCAUCAUCAUCGAGGUAUCCAGCUUGCAGAUUCGUUUCACACCGGACAAAAAAAAAAAAAACAAAAACAAACUUAGCGACAUUUCUUCGGGAUCAUUGUGUUCUGAAUUGAAAUUCCGCCGAGGUCAAUUUUGCCUUUCAUCCUUUUGGGAUCAAUGAAAUGAAGUACCGGUUGAGCACUGGAGUUGAUGAAAUCGUCUUAGUCAGAUCUAACACGUGUUUUUGACGAACUUUUGGCCAAACUUUUUCUGUAUCUCAUCAAUGUUUUGAGCUAUAGCAUAGCCUCGCUUUGACUCAAAAGCAAUAAAAAUAUCGCUGCUAACAAAUUUGUACUUUUUAAAAGUAUGUUUAGAAAUUUACAUACAAUGAAAAAUAAUAAAACAUUGUUUGACUAUAAUGUUUGUUCAAAUUAUAUUGUUCAACAAAGGAUAGUGUUACUGUGAGUCAAAGUGUGCGCAAGUAGUCAAGGUAAAAAUUUACGCUUAUAACGUUUCUUGGAGUGUUGUAUCUAUGGACAAUUUCGCUUUAUACUCCGAUGUGAUGGUUCGUGCUCAACUGGUUAGGGUGUUCUGUUCAUGACCAUAGUCUUUUGGGCUCAGUUCCUGGACAUAUUUUAUUUUUGAGUAAAGUGCAUUAUUUCAUGUCACUCCACGUGCCAUGUACUAGAGUAGCCUCCUUGAUGUGCAGUAGGGUCAAGAUUUAUGCGAUCGAGAGGGUGUCUGUGCUGGCUCGCUACAACACAGGCACUUAAAACAAUUUGUAAAAGCGUAUACAUGUUACUAAACCACACUCGCUUACGAGAGACGGUUGGCUGUACUUCUCUUUUAUCGUCAUCAUUGUAAAAUUUGUUGUUUAUUUCUACAAACACUAUCUUAAUUUGGUUUUAGCAUAUCUUCUGAUAAACCCCAAAUUAUCUAUUUAAAAAUAAUAUAUAUUCUGUCCUCUAAUUUGUUUUUCUUUUCAUUUGUAGUUGUAACAGUUGUUUAUACUGAUUGCACUUCCGACCUAAAAGACGGGUGCAUAAAGAAGAACCAAACACAGUGUGGGUAAGUGUUUCUAUGAGCAAAUUAAAUAUCUUAGAGUGCUUGUAUAUAUGAGUGUUGGCUUAAAAGUUCAUAGGCUAGAAUGUGACUAAAUGAGGGUUAUUUUUCAAUAUACUCUCCUUCACUGUCGACAUACUUCUUCCAUCGGUGUUGUAGCGCUUCGAUCCCGUUGGCAAAGAAAUUUUCAUCCUGUUGGUAAAAAAAGAGUCAUCAACAACAGAUAUAAUGUCACCACUGCGAUACUGGCUCCCAGUAUGUACUUUUUCAUGUUGGGGAACAUAUGGUAGUCAGAUGAGGUUGAUUAACUAGUUGAAAGGCAUAGUUACGCACUGCAGUCAUUGAAACUAAGAACUUGUGUGUUAAAGCAUUGCCUGAUGAAACAAGAGCCCUUUCGUCAGUUUAAUUGCGUGUUUGAUCUCGAUAGCGUUUCGUAACUGCCUCAGUAAUGUUUUUUGCAUCCCUAAAAACUGAAGCCAUCACCUUCCCUGCAAAGGAAAUGACCAUGGCCUUCUUUGGAGCAGGCGGGGAGGAGUGUUUCUAUUGCAUGAAUUGUCUUUUUGUCUUUGGUUGAGAGUGACGAAACCAACACUUACCCUAGGUUAAAGGGACAUUGAAAGAGCUGGAUCUGCCUCAAACAGUAUCAAAUUUUCCCGUGAUGUGAUCAACCUUGUUCGCUUUUGAUCAGGUGUCAGAAGACGUGGAACCCACCACGCAGAGACCUUCGUCAUUCAGAAUGUUCCCAACUUUCUGACGGGAUGUGCUAAUAACAUUGGCUAUUUGAUUUAUAGUUUACUACCUGUCAUCCAUCACCAUGUGAUGAACACGAUCAAAGUCUUCCUCGCUGGUGGCAGUUUCAGCAUACCCAGGCCUUCGGUCAUCUUCAAGGCUCUCCCUUCCCCUCCUAAAUUCAGCUGCCCACUUUUGCACUGUCGAUAAAGCUGAAGCGUCACCCCUUAAUGUUGCAACCAUAUUAGCAUGAAUGUCAUUGGGGGCUAAACCGUUUCUCUGCAGGUACAUAACACCAUAAUGCCAAAUUUUAUCCAUUUUCAAGAGAAGUCACUACUAGAAACUUCUGAAGUCUUCUUUGAACAGUCUAAUGUGAGUUUACCUGGAAAGAAAGAAGCUAAAUAAUAAGCGGAGUUGAAAUUAAUGCAUGCAAGAUUUCAUAGCUCUAGCAUCACUCCUUCAUAGUCAGCCUAUAAACUAUUCAGGCUUCACCCACCUCAUAUUUGCAAAUUAAAUGGGUUUUUAUACAACGACAUAUAGUAUUUAUACUGUUUAUUUUGUAUAUUUUCUUUUCAGGGCAAUCAAAUGUCUUUUAAAUAGCUCCUGUUCAAUACCAACUGCAAUGACGGCAUUAAAAAAACUGUGUAGUAUGUAUAGUUAUUUUAUAAUCAUCUUUAAUAUUACGAUUCAGAAGUUGAAAAGUGUACCUCUUUCUAGCAUAGUGUAGAAAAACAUUCAAAAAGAAAUCAUUUAAACAAAAAUUUUCUUGGACAAGAAUCUAGCUUUUAAAAUACAAUUCAUAAAUUUACUGUAUUAGAAGAGUAGUGGGUGUUGCUGUUGCUUUUGUUGUUGGUGUUAUUUCGCUCUAGGUCACUUCUGGUUCAGUAUACCGAUAAGCAAAAUACAUUCCAGUUGUAGCUGUCUCACAUUUUUGGGGCAUUGUCUAUCGAGAAUUAUAUUAUUCAAAGUUUCUUAUUGUAAAGAUGGUAUGGUGACACUUGAAAUAGAUUUACCGGCAUAACAAGCUAGCUCGGUAAGCACAUACGAGGGGUAUUGAAAAGUUCCUGGCUUUGUGUAAAAGAAAAUACAGGAGGAUCAGUUAUGAUUUUAUUCAACAUAUUCCCUCUCUCAGAUUCACAUGCUUAUUGCAGCGGUCCUUCACUCUUUAUAAGCUCUGAAAAAGAACUCGGAAGAUUGGGCUUCCAACAGGUUUGUCGCGAUACUCUGAAAGCCAAGAACUUUUCAGCACUCCCUCGUAAUGCAUCAUAUGAUCUUUAAAUAACUGCCGAAAGACUACAAUGGUGUGACCAAACUAAUUUAAAAGCCACAAUAAUUCUGUUUUUGAAACGGUAUAUGCGAAAAUAGACAUUGAUGUAGUAUCUUAAAAACACUAAUUUGCCUUGUGCAGUCGUAUGUUUGGAUUAAGGAUAAUAUACUACUGAUACCUAUUUUAUAAAUCCUAAAAGAUAUAAAUGUGAAGUCAAGGCUGGCAACUUUGGGCAAAGCGUUGAAGCGUGUUUAACUCAACGUUUUGUCGUUUCAUCUGGCUUAGGCGGUUUCUGAAGUUGAUUAUUGAGUAUGAAAAGUGCAAUAGCGACGGUAAAACACUUGGAAUUUUUAGUCUGUACAGAGUCCAGAAGUCUAGUAAGGGUUGAGUCAGAAAGAAUUAAUCCGAAGGAAAAUUUGGAGACUGUCAAUAAAUUUGUGCUGAAGAUUGGAAAUGAUAACGUUUCCAGCUUUUACAAUUCAAUGGAGAGUAGGGAGAGACAAAUGGGGAAAUAUAUGCAAUGAAGGAGAGAUGUGGAGAGUUAGGACGGAAAAUUAGGCGAGAAAGAACGAGGGAGAAAAAGGGAGAGACAGAGAGACUCUGUGUGUGUGUGUGUGAAUUAAGAAAUAUAGUUAAUUACAUUAUUUACAUUUGACGGUUAUUUGUCCUCAUCUUGUUUGUUGUUAACACAACAUUUCGGCCAUCAGCCUCCAGCCCUCAUCAGUUGUCUUGGGGGAAAUUUCGAACCUGGAUUCUCAUUCCUAAGGUAUUUUCGAUAUUAUUAUUAUUCAGUAGUUUUAUUUUUAUAGUUUGCUUUGACUUCACUACCGAGCGCAGCCCUGUAUGCCUUGAGUAUGUGCUGUGAUUUGUUGUGAAGCUCUUAUGGUUACUGUAUUGAAAAUGUUUUGCGUAGGAUAUGUGCAGUGCUCAAUAGUGCAAUUUUCUGUAUGUUAUAUGUGUUUGUAAGUCCUGGUGUUUUUGUUAUGUAUUUUUCUGAAUAUUUUUUUUAUCAUACAUAAUGCACCCACUAUGAUAUGAAUUGUUUCUGUUUUUAGAUUCCACAUUCGAGUUAUCUCUAUUUCCAGGUCUUUGUAUUUUGAAAGUUUCUCCAUUUCUUUUAGAGAUGCGUUGUCAUCUGCUGGUAUUGAUACAUCAAUUAAAAAGCAUUUUUUUCUUCACGAUCUCUGACAACAAUAUCUGGCCUACUGGCCUCAAUUUCUCUAUCUAUGUGUAUUGGCAUAUCACAGAGUAUGGUUGCUUUCUCGUUUUCUGUGACUUUUCUGGUUUGUGCCUAUAUUUAUUUUCUGUUGUUAUUCCAUAAUGUUGGCAAAGCUUCCAGUGUAUGUAGGUCCCAACUCUCGUGUCUGUGAAUAUAUUCCUUCUUAGCUAAGACUGGGCAGCCAGAGAUAAAAUGAUUUAUUGUUUCUUGUCCAUCUCCACAUAUUCUGCAGUUACUUGUUAUGUUUCUUUUCAUUAUAUGUCUUUGGUAAUUUCUGGUGGAGUGGCUUUGGUCUUGUGCUGCAAUUAUAAAUCCCUCCGCCUCUGCUUUGAGUCCUGAGCUUCUCAAACAUAGCUGGGAUUUUCUUUGUCUAUUUCUUUUGCAUUUAGUUUAGUCCAGUAUUUGCCAUGAAGGGGCUUUUCUUGCCAUCGUUUUUUCAUGGUCUGUUGCUGUUCUAGUUUUAGUAUGGAUUUCAUUUGUUUUAUAGCUUUUGUUGUUUCUUCAUCAUCAUCAUCUUCUUCUUCUUCUUCUUCUUCUUCUUCUUCUUCUUCUUCUUCUUCUUCUUCUUCUUCUUCUUCUUCUUCUUCUUCUUCUUCUUCUUCUUCUGUGAUAUGAUUUAUUGUUUGUAUUUGUCAGCUUCCUUAAAUACUGAGAACAGUCAUUUUGUUUUGCUCGUGUUUUGUCGCUAUUUGUAUCAGUUUUCCUUGCUUCUGAAGUAGAUAUUUUUGCUGUCCUAUGGUGGUUAUUUCAUAAUAGUUUUUCAGCAGUAAGGCCUCUGCCACCUUCUAUACGUUGUAUAUAUAACCUUUCUAUGUCAGAUUUUGGGUGAUGCAUCCUAGAUCCUGUCAUUAUUUUUCUUGUUUUCCUGUCUAUUUUGGUUAGUUCAUUUAGUAUCCAGUUAAGGAUAUUAUAGCUGUAACUUAUAUAUGGGACGGCUAAAGUGUUAAUAUCUACUAUCUUGUUUUUAGUAUUGAUCUAACUCGUCUAUAGUAUUCUUUCUUUAUUUUCUCAUUCAUUUUUGUGUGUUGUAUCGUAUCUAGUUCGUGGAUUCCUAAAUAUUUGUAAGUUUGGCUUUGGUCUAAUUCUCUUAUUUCAUUGGUUUUAUCUAGUGUGAUGUUGCUACUCUUAACUAGUUUCCCUCUUUUCAGGGUUACUUUGGUGCAUUUUUCUAAUCCAUAUUUCAUAUCUAUUUCUUUGGUAAAUCCAUGAACUGUCUGCAUUAGUGUCUCCAGCUGUUUGUCAUUGACCUGAAUAAUAACAACAAUAAUAACAUCGAAAUAUAACUUAGGAAUGAGAACCCAGGUUCAAAAUUUUCCCAAGACACCUGAUGAAGGUUGGAGGGUAUAUCAGCCGAUACGUUGUGUUAACAACAAAUAAGUUGAGGACAAAUAUCUGUCAAAUGUAAAUAAUGUACAUAAUUCAUUAUCUCUUAAAUAUAGAACUGAAAAAUAGUUAAUUUAAGUUUUCGUGAUGCUUGUUUGUGGUCAUAACGCUAGAUUUUGAAUGACGACUAACCAAAAAUGCUUAAGUAUUAUAAAAAUUGUUCCCUCAAGUCGUUUAUAAAAGCAAAGUUACUUGUUGCAGUUAUAAGUAGCAAUGUAAUAAUUUAUUAAUAAAAUCGAUAAAGAUAUUUAAAUGAUGAGAAAAUAGUUUACUCUCUCUCUCUAUAUAUAAAUUGAUAUGAUUACUUUUCUUUUUUACUUUCAGGCACUGGGUCAACUAUUUCAUUCAGUUUCAAUGUUUUGAUUGUUUUGGUGGUCUUGCAGUUGGCGGAUUAUAUUAAAAACUAUUUCUAAUCUGACAUUUUUAACGAUUUUAUAACAGUAAAUACAAAUACACUUUUUGCUUUUUAUAAAUCUAAGUGUAAAUGAUAAAUAACUAUCAAUAAAAUAUUACUAUUUGAAGUUUUCGUCAUUGUCACUUAUUGUAUGCUUAACCCAAAUUUUAAUUAAUGAAAAUUUUAAUUAAUGAAAAUCUGAAGUUUUCUCUUUGUCUUGAUUAUAUUCAGUUAAAGCAAUAAACGAUUAGA
rnacentral:lncRNA from 1 species